GGCCCCAAUUUAUGUAAAACGUCUUACCGAUUUGGAAUCAGUAAGACAUUUUCCGAUUUUUCCAGCGUUCUCCCUUCUCUACACUCUCAUUCUCCCUUCUCCUCUCUACACCGAUCUGGUUUCGUUCUCACGUUCGUUCUCCCUUCUCCCUUUCGUUCUCCUUUGAUUUGGUUUCGGGCUCCUUUUCCCCCUUGAUUUCUUCUUCUUUUUAUAAAUUGAUUUGGGGAUUUUCUGCUUGUUUUUGUCUGAUACCUUGCUUGGGUUUUCUGCUAGUUUGGCUGUGGUGUUUGGCUUAUCUUGGGCAGACUUUCUUCACAGACUUGCUUGGGUUCUCUUUCGCUCGCUCUAUCUCUAAAUUUCUUUGGUGGAUUUCUCUUGGCGUGACGGUGUUGUUGUUGGUGUUCUCUUUGUGAACAAUCUCGUCUUCACAGAUUCAUUAUCUUAUCGAUCUGCACCUAACUUGUAAGUCAUUUUUCUCUCAAUCUGAAACCCUAAAAUAUCAAUUCUGCCCUUCGAUCUUUUUUAGAUCCAUAAUUUAUCUCAUCCAGUUUUAAUUAUACAAAUUUGAUGAUAUAUUGGGAACGUUCUCUUUACGAUUACUUUAAAAUGUCUUGAACUAAUCUCCAUUCUGCAUUACAUUUUUCUUGCUAGUUCGUUGGUGAAUUUGAUAUGUCUCAUUACUAGUUUUAGCCCAGGUUCUGUUACGUUUUUCAGCAUGUCUACCCCAUUGACGUUUUUCAGCGUCUCCAUAAGCCGCUGCCAUGCUCCUUGAAAGCUAUUGUGGUGCCUUCAAUUUUUGUUUCCAUCUCCUUUAAAAAAUUUGAUGCUUUCCAUAUUGUGGUUGUCUUUAAUUUAAAGCUGCUCUGUUUUUGAUUAGUUCAAACCCCAAUUUGUUGUUGCUUACUUGAAUCGUGUUACAAGAUGUUGCUUUGCUUCAUUGCUAAGAGGCUGCCAAACGUGCAGGGUGGCUUCCUCAAGGUGAUAAUUAUCCCAAUGCUAGCCAUGUUGGUUUUGUACUUGUUCUUGGAGAAGAUGGCAAGUGUUUUCGAACCCAUAACACUGAAGUAGUUCGUUUAGUUGAUCUACUUGAUGAAGCCAAGAACCGAAGUAAAGCAGCACUUAUCGAGCAUGGUAAGGGUGAAGAAUGGACCGAGGAGGAGAUUGAGAGUACUGCUGAUGCAGUUGGUUAUGGUGCUGUAAAAAAGCAAUUUGCAAGGAGCCUCAAGAGUCAAAGAUUCCCCCAUCUCUUAUUUUUAGUGAUAAAUUUUGAUUUUCUUGAUGCAGUCAUGCCAUUUAUACAUUUCUGCGAAAUUUUGAAGUUGUAAUGAAGUUGUAAAAUGGCUUGUGUUAUUCAAGUUGUUGGUAUUAAAUUUUGGACUCUGAGUAAUAUUUGAAUCCGCUUUACUUUUGUUGAUAGGAUAUUGAAUCCUUUUUUUGAAUCCAUUUUGUUUUUGGGGAUGACAGAUUCUGAUAUACGAAUUGAUUAGCUACUUUACUUUUUACAAUUUUUUGACUUGCUAAAUUCGGAUAUUUUGGCAGAUUCAGAUCUUUGGUCUGUUUGUUAAUGCAUAUUCAGACCGAGUCACAUAGAUGUAGUUAGUUUUGCCUAAGUUUUUGAGGGACUUGGUU